GGCUAACGCUGGCGGCGUGUCUUAGCCAUGCAAGUCGAGCGGACUUAUGGGGUAACUUAUAAGUCAGCGGCGGACGGCGGAGUAACACGUAGCUAACCUACCCUCUGGACGGGGAUAACCUACCGAAAGGUGGGCUAAUACCCGAUGUAGUCAUCCUGUAUAGGGGUGAUGAAAGGUGGGCUUCUGUUUACAAGCUCAUGCUGGAGGAGGGGGCUGCGGCCUAUCAGGUAGUUGGUAGGGUAAUAGCCUACCAAGCCGAUGACGGGUAGCCGGCCUGAGAGGGUGACCGGCCCGAGGGGCACUGAGAUACGGGUCCCACUCCUACGGGAGGCAGCAGUGGGGAAUCUUGGGCAAUGGGGGAAACCCUGACCCAGCGACGCCGCGUGAGGGACGAAAUCCUUUGGGAUGUAAACCUCUGUUGUGCGGGACGAAGGACGUGACGGUACCGCACGAGGAAGCCCCGGCAAACUACGUGCCAGCAGCCGCGGUAAGCAUACUCGUA
rnacentral:rRNA from 1 species